UACGUAGGGCGCAAGCGUUCUCCGGAAUUAUUGGGCGUAAAGAGCUCGUAGGCGGUUUGUCGCGUCUGCCGUGAAAGUCCGGGGCUCAACUCCGGAUCUGCGGUGGGUACGGGCAGACUAGAGUGAUGUAGGGGAGACUGGAAUUCCUGGUGUAGCGGUGAAAUGCGCAGAUAUCAGGAGGAACACCGAGGGCGAAGGCAGGUCUCUGGGCAUUAACUGACGCUGAGGAGCGAAAGCAUGGGGAGCGAACAGG
rnacentral:rRNA from 1 species